rnacentral:rRNA from 1 species
GUUAGAAUGGGGGGAACCUGACCAGCACGCCGCGUGAGCGAAGAGGCCUUCGGGUUGUAAAGCUCAAUAGUAUGGGAAGAAAUGACGGUACCAUACGAAAGCCCCGGCUAACUACGUGCCACCAGCCGCGGUAAUACGUAGGGGGCGAGCGUUGUCCGGAAUUACUGGGCGUAAAGAGCACGUAGGCGGCUAUAUAAGUCAUAUGUGAAAAACCUGGGCUUAACCGAGGGUAUGCAUCUGAAACUAUAUAGCUUGAGUCAAGGAGAGGAGAGCGGAAUUCCUGGUGUAGCGGUGAAAUGCGUAGAGAUCAUGAAGAAUACCACUGGCGAAAGCGGCUCUCUGGACUUCAACUGACGCUGAU